rnacentral:rRNA from 1 species
UACGUAGGGGGCGAGCGUUGUCCGGAAUUAUUGGGCGUAAAGGGCGCGUAGGCGGCUUAUCAAGUCUGAUGUGAAAGUGCGGGGCUUAACCCCGUAAAGCAUUGGAAACUGGUAGCUUGAGGGCAGGAGAGGAAAGUGGAAUUCCUAGUGUAGCGGUGAAAUGCGUAGAGAUUAGGAGGAACACCAGUGGCGAAGGCGGCUCACUGGACCGGUACUGACGCUGAUGCGCGAAAGCGUGGGGAGCAAACAGGG